AACAAUCUGGAGAGUAGUUAAUGGAGUCGGUGACUCAGCUCACUUUGCUGUGGUUUCUGCUCUGUCAUCAGCAUGGAUGUCUGGUCAUUUUCGUAGAAACCAAGGAGAGUCCUGGAAGAAAUGAUGAGAAAAACCCUGGAGCAAAAUACUUUACCAAAAAAGGACAAAAUAAGGCUUGUGACUGCAAUUUAAAAAUUGUUAAAGGACACCGUUUCAUAGGGAAUAAAUGAGAAGUGGGUAAUGACUGUUUAUUUGAAUGAUUCAAUGCAAAUUCCCUGGAACAGUAAAUCUGGCCCAGUUUGUUUAAAGUAGAACAUGUUUGACCUGAAACUUCUCGGAAAUACAAAUAUUUUGUAAGAAGACACGGUUCUUGGGUCUUCUCUCUCUUAUUCUUCAGAAUGAGUCUUCCCUCCAGAAACUCCUCUGAGAUUUGGCUGUGGUCUCCCACGCCCUGUCAGGCAGCGACUGCAGGCUUCUGUGGUUCUCGUUUCCAAACCUCAAACCAUGAGAGACAUGGAGGCUCUUCGAAAUGAUGGUGACACUGCUCUCCUGGGGAGGGCUGGACAUGGAUCGUCCUUUCCCAGCUCCGCUUAAUCUGAAGCAGGAGGAUCUGGCUGAGAGCUGGGAUGAACUUCAAUCUGGUUCUGCCGGAUACAAAAUCGACUGAGAAAUGAUGCCACCAACCAAAAUGGUUUCUGAAGUUUGGGAAUGUAAACAUUUUUUUCCUUCUUUUAGAGAUUUUCAGAUAAUGGAGUCUGGUCCCUCUGUCCAUGGGCCAUCAGCACCUGCAGUUCACACCACACUUUCCAGGGAAGAAGGCAUCUACAGCACACCACCCACUGCAGGAACAGUGCAGAUUCCCACAUCUACAGCACAGCACCCACUGCAGGAACAGCACAGUUUCCCACAUCUACAGUGCAGCACCCACUGCAGGAAGAGCGCAGAUUCCCACAUCUACAGUGCAGCACCCACUGCAGGAACAGCGCAGAUUCCCACAUCUACAGCUCAGCACCCACUGCAGGAAGAGCGCAGAUUCCCACAUCUACAGAACAGCACACACUGCAGGAACAGUGCAGAUUCCCACAUCUACAGCUCAGCACCCACUGCAGGAACAGCGCAGAUUCCCUCAUCUACAGCACGGCACCCACUGCAGGAACAGCACAGAUUCCCACAUCUACAGUACGGCACCCACUGCAGGAACAGCGCAGAUUCCCACAUCUACAGCACAGCACCCACUGCAGGAACAGCACAGAUUCCCACAUCUACAGUACGGCACCCACUGCAGGAACAGUGCAGAUUCCCACAUCUACAGUACGGCACCCACUGCAGGAACAGCGCAGAUUCCCUCAUCUACAGCACAGCACCCACUGAGGGACAGUGCAGAUUCCCACAUCUACAGCACAGCACCCACUGCAGGAACAGCACAGAUUCCCACAUCUACAGUACGGCACCCACUGCAGGAACAGUACAGAUUCCCACAUCUACAGUACGGCACCCACUGCAGGAACAGCGCAGAUUCCCUCAUCUACAGCACAGCACCCACUGAGGGACAGUGCAGAUUCCCACAUCUACAGCACAGCACCCACUGCAGGAACAGCACAGAUUCCCACAUCUACAGUACGGCACCCACUGCAGGAACAGUGCAGAUUCCCACAUCUACAGUACGGCACCCACUGCAGGAACAGCGCAGAUUCCCUCAUCUACAGCACAGCACCCACUGAGGGACAGUGCAGAUUCCCACAUCUACAGUGCAGCACCCACUGCAGGAACAGUGCAGAUUCCCACAUCUACAGCACAGCACACACUGCAGGAACAGUGCAGUUUCCCUUGCGUCGCCCAGCAUAUGCAAUCCCCACUGCACGGAAGUCACCUGCACAACGCUGGAGUUGCCAACGGUUUGUGUUUCUAAGUUCCACUUGGGAGUUAGAUCUCAUCUUUAAUAAUAAUAGUUAAAUCCUUGUUUCGUUCAAGUUUAAAUGUGUAUAAACUCUGAAAUUCUAUUUUUACAGAUAGCUACAAAAGCUCACAAAAUAUAUCACUUCAAAUCCCUACAUGUUAUGUCUCCUGGGCAUACAAACUACAUUGAUGGUAAUGAACUACCAGAGUUUAAAUCUUAUGUUUCUUCUAAAUAAUGAACUCCUGUUUGUCAACCUGUAUUUUCACUUUUUUCUAUACUCCUGUGCAGUGUAUUUAAAGAAAGAAAUAUGGAAAAUAGUGAAAGACAUAGAAAAGAGUGGUCUAUCACCAACCUUCCCCCUUCCUCUCUUGUAUAUUGGAAAUCUCCAUCUAUGUAGCCCAAUUACAUCUCUUCAUUAGUCUGAUUUGGUGUUACUCACUUUUAAAAUAUAGUUGUUUGCAAAGUCUGAAAAUUAUCUUGAAAAAUGCAAAUUUUUUAAUGUGUACAAUUCUAUUUGUGCUAAAUAAAUUUAGACCUUUCUUAUAUUCAA